GGGGAAUAUUGCGCAAUGGGGGAAAUCCUGACGCAGCUAUGCCGCGUGGGUGAUGAAGGCCUUCGGGUCGUAAAGCCCUGUCGGAAGGGACGAAGACGUAAGUUUGACGGUACCUUCCAAGGAAGCACCGGCUAACCUCGUGCCAGCAGCCGCGGUAAUACGAGGGGUGCAAGCGUUGCUCGGAUUUACUGGGCGUAAAGCGACCGCAGGCGGUCAGACAGGUCCGACGUGAAAGCCCGGGGCUCAACCCCGGAAGUGCGUUGGAAACCGUCCGACUUGAAUACGGGAGAGGAGAGUGGAAUUCCUGGUGUAGAGGUGAAAUUCGUAGAUAUCAGGAGGAACACCAGCGGCGAAGGCGGCUCUCUGGCCCGAUAUUGACGCUCAUGGUCGAAAGCGUGGGGAGCAAAC
rnacentral:rRNA from 1 species